GGUUGUUGGUGGAUGAUCGCUUUGCCUGUAAAGGCGGGGAGGAAAGUCCGAACACGCCUCUAGCGAAAGCUAGAAAGGAUAGCGGGUAACGCCCGCCUGGAGCAAUCCACGAGGUGCGAGCAGAGACGUCUAGGCUUGAAAAGGUCUAGAGAGCUAAACCCUGUAUUCUUGAUUAAUCAGGAAUAAUAGCUUAAUCCUGGCCAUAGGGAAAUAAGGUCAGGGGUGAAACGGCUAAAUCCUUAUCUGCGUGCAAGAGCAAUGUUUCCUGUUGUUUAGACGGGAUUCAGAAAGUUAGCUCGCUUUGAUUCUAAUGGAAACAUUAGAACUAGAUAAAUGAUCGUCGCCCAAUUUAUUGGGAUACAAAAUUCGGCUUAUAGCCAACAAUACCCU
rfam:Parcubacteria (Magasanikbacteria) bacterium GW2011_GWC2_34_16 TR53_C0002, whole genome shotgun sequence.